ACACUACAAGAAAACAAGUCUAUUGCAAGGGAAAUUUGCAAGAGAAAAAUUUCCUCGCAAAUUUGAGAUAUAUUUGCAACGAAAUUGCAAGAAAAGUUAUCAUCCUCGCAAAUCUCUUGCAAAUUUGCAAGGAAAACAUUUCUCUCGCAAUUCCCUCGCAAAUUUGCAAGAAAUUUGCGAGGAAAAUGUCUCCCUCGCAAAUUUGCAAGAGAUUUGCAAGGGUAGUUACAGCGUCCUCGCAAAUCCCUUGCAAAUUUGCAAGAUUAAAAUUCUCUCGCAAAUUUGCAAGGGAUUUGCAAGAACUUUAUAUGUCUAUCUUGUUUUCUUAUAAUUCUUGAAACUUGAACUUGAUAUUACUAAGUACUAAAUAUCAAAACUUUAUAAUUUAUACAAUAAACACACAUCAACUAAAUUUCCAAAAAAAAUAAAACAAAAUUUCACGUUAAUUAUUUUUUCCAAACAAAAAAUACACAAUUCAUAGUAGUUCACCAAAAAUAUACCAAACCCCAAAUGAAACCCUAAUAUUAUUGAUUUAUGAAUUUGCAAGUAAGUUGCAAGGAAUUUGCAAAAGAUCCCUCGCAAAUCCCUUGCUAAUUUGCGAGAGAAUCUAAUUUCCCUUACAAAUUUGCAAGGGUUUUGCGAUAGACUCGUUGCAAUUUCCUUGCAAAUCUAUGUUUCCAAAUUCGAGUUUGCCUUUUUAAAUCCUUAAACCCUAAACGAGUUUUAAACCUAAACUCCAAACAAAAAAUUUGAACUUCAAUAUUCUAAUAUUAAAUAUUAAAUUUAACUUGACAUGUUAAAUAUAAACUCAAAAAUUAUUUCCUUUUCAAAAAUUAAUCUCAAAUCUCAAUACCCUAUACUCUAACCUCUAUUUUAAAUUCAAAACUUUAAAUCUAAACUCUAAAUAACAACUUUUCAAACGUAAAUAUAAUUAUUAAAAUAAAUUCAGAUUUGUUUUCAAAUUUUAGCUUAAAAUCUUAUAUCAAUACCCUAAACCUUUAACCCUUAAACUCUAUAUAUAUCAUACUCCAAAUUAACCAAUACCAUAAACUCUAACUAAAAUCUUAAAACUGAUAUUUUCAAUUAUCUAGCUUCAAAUCUUGUAGUGUUAGUGUAUAGAAAACAUAAUAAAAUCCUAAAACAAAUUAACUAUAAAUUUGCAAGGAAAUUGCAAUGAUUCUCUCGCAAAUCUAUUGCAAAUUUGCAAGGGAAUAAUUUCCAUCGCAAUUUGCAAGGAACUUGCGAGGGUUCCGUUGCAAUUCCCUUGCAAAUCCAUGUUUCCAAACUCUAGUUUGUCUUUUUAAAUCCCUAAACCCUAAACGAGUUUUUAAACUCUAAACUCCAAACAAAAAAUUUAAACUUUAAUAUUCUAACAUUAAAUCUUAAAUUAACCUAACAUAUUAAAUAUAAAACCAAAAAUUAUUUUUUUUUUCAAAAACUAAUCUCAAAUUUCAAUACCCUAUACUUAACCUCUAUUCUAAAUUCAUAACAUUAAAUCUAAACUCUAAAUAAAAACUUUUCAAACGUAAAUAUAAUUCUUAAAAUAAAUUCAAAUUUAUUUUCAAAUUUAGCUUAAAAUCUUAUAUCAAUACCUAAACCUUUAAACCUAAACCCUAUAUAUAUCAUACUCCAAUUUCACCAAUAUCAUAAACUCUAACUAAAAUCUUAAAACAUAUAAUUUUUAUUAUUUAAUUUCAAAUUUUGAAUUGUUUAUAAAGUAAAAUUUAAAAAGUAAAUAUAAAGAAACAUAUUAAUGUAUAGUAAACAUAACAAAACCCUAAAACAAUUUAACUAUAAAUUUGCAAGGAAAUUGCAAUGGUUUCCUCGCAAAUCAAUUGCAAAUUUGCAAGGGAUUAAGCUCCAUCACAAUUUGCGAGGGAUUUGCGAGGGAUCCGUUGCAAUUCCCUUGCAAAUCUAUUUUCCCCAAAAUAAAAAAAAAAGAAAAGAGGAGAAGAGUUUCCAGAACUAGGGUUCGUAUAUAAUUACAUAAACCUAAUGCUCUUCAUUUGUUUGAGCCGUCAAGAAAAAAAACCAAUUUUUUUUUAAUCUUUUCUCUCCUCUUGCUGGACCUCUCUCUCUCGCUCUCCCGUGUUUGCUCUCUCAUGCUUACCUCCAUGGCUCCUCUCCGACCACACCGCCAUAUCUCUACUCCUCGCCGGCUCUCCUCUCUUCUCACACCGCCGGAUCUCCUUUUUCUUUCUCACGCCGGCUCACCUCUCUCUGUCUUUCACACCAAUGAACGUUAUUCCACAAAGCUCUUGCUCAGCGUCCCACCACCACCACGGAAUGUAGAAGCAAGGCAAGACAAGGCACACCACGGUUAGAUUUGAUUUCUUUCAUUUGGUAAAGGAAGUUGAAGGAUGGAGAAGAAGCUUGAUGGUUGAGGAGACCAGGGAAGCCGUGGUCGCAGGGUGGUGGUGCGGCUGGUGGUGAGGCGAAGGAGGCCAGAAGCGGAGGAGUCAUUGAGGCGGCUCUUUCAUUUUAGGGUUUGAGAUUCUUUAAUCCGGUUUAAUCAACUAAACUGGUUUAAUUAACUAAACCAGAUUGUUGUAAAUUAACUUUUGUUUUAAGAUUUUUAUUCAUGUAUUUACAUUUAUCUAAAUGUAUCAGUUUAAUAUAUAUUAUAUAAUUUAUUUGUAA